rnacentral:lncRNA from 1 species
AGAUAAACUUUCACAUAAAAGUGAGCUCAUGUGACAUAGAUAUAUCGUAUGAUUUCACAUCACCUCUCACACUGAUCCGAUGUCACAUAAUCAUAGGAAUAGUCUCAUAGAUUGCUUUCGUAUGCAUCACAUAACUACCUUAUGAUUUAGUGCAAAUCAAGCUCACAUAUAAACUUGAAGUACAUACCUGUUUAACCUUUCGCAUUGAAUAUAUUUAUAAGCAAUUCUUAUUAUGAAGUCUUACCCGGACAUAAUCUCCACACGAAGUUAUCGGGUCUUAC